UACGUAGGCAGCAAGCGUUGUUCGGAGUUACUGGGCGUAAAGGGUGUGUAGGCGGUUUUCUAAGUCUGGUGUGAAAUCUCCCGGCUCAACUGGGAGGGUGCGCCGAAAACUGGAAGGCUAGAGUGCGGGAUGGGAGAGUGGAAUUCCUGGUGUAGCGGUGAAAUGCGUAGAUAUCAGGAAGAACACCAAUGGCGAAAGCAGCUCUCUGGGACGGUACUGACGCUGAGACGCGAAAGCGUGGGGAGCGAACAGG
rnacentral:rRNA from 1 species